rnacentral:rRNA from 1 species
UACGGGGGGGGCAAGCGUUGUUCGGAAUUACUGGGCGUAAAGGGCUCGUAGGUGGCCAACUAAGUCAGACGUGAAAUCCCCAGGCUCAACCUGGGAACUGCGUCUGAUACUGGAUGGCUUGAAUCCGGGAGAGGGAUGCAGAAUUCCAGGUGUAGCGGUGAAAUGCGUAGAUAUCGUAAGGAAGACCAGUGGCGAAGGCGGGUCUCUGGACAGUUCCUGACGCUGAGGCACGAAGGUCAGGGGAGCAAACGGG